CUUGGUCAUUUAGAGGAAGUAAAAGUCGUAACAAGGUUUCCGUAGGUGAACCUGCGGAAGGAUCAUUAUUGAAAUAAACCUGAUGGGUUGUUGCUGGUUCUCUAGGGAGCAUGUGCACGCCUUGUCAUCUUUAUAUCUCCACCUGUGCACCUUUUGUAGACCUUUCAGGUCUAUGUUGCUUCAUUUACCCCAUGUAUGUUAAUAGAAUGUUGUGCCUAUAUAAUAUAUACAACUUUCAGCAACGGAUCUCUUGGCUCUCGCAUCGAUGAAGAACGCAGCGAAAUGCGAUAAGUAAUGUGAAUUGCAGAAUUCAGUGAAUCAUCGAAUAUUUGAACGCACCUUGCGCUCCUUGGUAUUCCGAGGAGCAUGCCUGUUUGAGUGUCAUUAAUAUAUCAACCUCCUCAGGUUUUUACUUGUCGAGUGUUUGGAUGUGGGGGCUUCUUUUGCUGGUCUCUUUGAGAUCGGCUCCCCUAAAAUGCAUUAGCGGAACAAUUUGUUGACUCGUUCAUUGGUGUGAUAAUAUCUACGCUUUUGACGUGAAACAGGUUCAGCUUCUAACAGUCCAUUGACUUGGACAAUUUUUCAUUAAUGUGACCUCAAAUCAGGUAGGACUACCCGCUGAACUUAAGCAUAUCAAUAAGCGGAGGA
rnacentral:rRNA from 1 species